rnacentral:lncRNA from 1 species
AACAUAAACACCGUUUUUUUUUUUUUUUUUUUUUUGCUUUGUCUUGCAUACCAGCGGUUGACACGUCGUCAGCAGCUCUACCGAAGUCUGUGAUUGAGACGACACUGGACGAUGUCUCCUCCAAAUCUCCCACAACCACGUCCCCCAUCCAGACUUCUGCUACAUCCACCGCCGCUUCCUCAUCCAAUCCAACGGCUCGGAGUCACAGCACGUCCUCCACCGCUCCCACUGGCCAAUCAGAGGUGCUCAUGGACACGUUAAGUCCCGCCCUCACAGAUCCCCAUGGCAACAGCCUGUCGGGGAAGCAGCACAACGUCCCAGGGCUGAGCAUCAUGGGAGUUCUGCUGAUCGCCUGCGCUGCGGCGGCGACCGGCUUCCUCUGCUGGAAACGCAGGUCGCAGCGUGCAGACAAAAGCACACAGCAGACAGAGACGGCGGAGGAAAAAUUACCCAUGAACACCGAGGAGGACGCUGCGCCCCAGGAGGUGUGCACGCCGCUGUGACGCGUUCGAUGAAGGAGUGUCCCGACUGCGAAUUGGAGGUUUUUUUGUCCUCGGAGGCAGAAACGAUCUCAUUGGCUGAUUUAAAUCUCAGGGGGCGGAGCCAGAGAUCUUCAGCCUGAGGGUCCAAAAAAAUGACCUCUGUUUUUUGACGAGGUGUUUUGCCAUUUUUUAUUAUUUUUUUAGGCUUUUUAACAUCGACACCAUGCAGCGUCCUGAUAGAGAAAUGCAGUUUUUAAUAAUGACUGUUGUUAAAUAUGGAUAAAUAAUUACCUGUUCUCCUGUCGUUACCUGUGUUAUUAACUGACCGCUGAAUGUUGAACUGUUUUUUUUUAAAUGUUGGAAUCAGAUGAAAAUGUCAG